UGUGUUAGUGUAAGAUUUGAUGAUGGAUUUUAUUUUUCUUUUUAAAACAAGAGGUUUAUUUAAACAACAAGAUGCUUGACUUGAAGGGAAAACUAUCUAGGAUUCCCUUUUUUUUUAACAGUAAUUUACCCCUACUUAAAGACAGAUUGCCCUACAUGUAACAGCUGUGUACAAAGAAGUUAUAAAAUUGUCCUUGGUUUUACAAUGAUAAAUGAAAACAUUAAAAUUCCCCAAUCAAACAAGGUAUGCAAGGAUUUUUGUUGUUUUUUUCUUUUUUUGUUAAAACAGUGAGAGCAAAAUAACUUACUGAAAUAUAAAGAUAAAAGCUGAAUGAGCAUGCCACUAGUGGAGAAGGGGGAUAUCUUCACAGGGCCAGUUUUUUUUUUCCCAAUCCCAUCUCCAUUUGAUGUCAAUCAAAAUAUACCAUUGACCAUUUAGGUUU